rnacentral:misc_RNA from 1 species
AGCAGCCGCGGUAAUUCCAGCUCCAAUAGCGUAUAUUAAAGUUGUUGCAGUUAAAAAGCUCGUAGUUGAAUUUCGGGAUUGACACAUCGGUCGUGCCUUAAGGGGUAUGAACUGGUGUAGUCAAUUUCUCACCUUCUGGAGAACCGCGAUGCCCUUAAUUGGGUGUCGCGGGGAACCAGGACCUUUACUUUGAAAAAAUUUAGAGUGUUUAAAGCAGGCAUUUUGCUUGAAUACAUUAGCAUGGAAUAAUAAAAUAGGACGGCAUGAUUCUAUUUUGUUGGUUCCUAGGAUCACCGUAAUGAUUAAUAGGGAUAGUUGGGGGCAUUAGUAUUCAAUUGUCAGAGGUGAAAUUCUUGGAUUUAUUGAAGACUAACUACUGCGAAAGCAUUUGCCAAGGAUGUUUUCAUUAAUCAAGAACGAAAGUUAGGGGAUCGAAGACGAUCAGAUACCGUCGUAGUCUUAACCAUAAACUAUGCCGACUAGGAAUCAGACGAUGUUAAUUUUUUUAAUGACUCGUUUG